UACGUAGGGGGCAAGCGUUGUCCGGAAUCAUUGGGCGUAAAGAGCGUGUAGGCGGCCACUUAAGUCCUGCGUGAAAUCUUGCGGCUCAACCGCAAGCGGUCGUGGGAAACUGGGUGGCUAGAGUGCGGGAGAGGAGAGUGGAAUUCCUGGUGUAGCGGUGGAAUGCGCAGAUAUCAGGAGGAACACCAAUGGCGAAGGCAGCUCGCUGGGACGGUACUGACGCUGAGAGACGAAAGCUAGGGGAGCGAAUGGG
rnacentral:rRNA from 1 species